rnacentral:rRNA from 1 species
UGGGGAAUAUUGGACAAUGGGCGAAAGCCUGAUCCAGCCAUGCCGCGUGUGUGAAGAAGGUCUUCGGAUUGUAAAGCACUUUCAGCGAGGAGGAAAGGUUGUUGGCUAAUACCCAGCAACUGUGACGUUACUCGCAGAAGAAGCACCGGCUAACUCCGUGC